CACGUAGGGGGCAAGCGUUGUCCGGAUUUAUUGGGCGUAAAGAGCUCGUAGGUGGUUCGGUAAGUCGGGUGUGAAACCUCCAGGCUCAACCUGGAGACGCCACCCGAUACUGCUGUGACUGGAGUCCGGUAGGGGAGCGUGGAAUUCCUGGUGUAGCGGUGAAAUGCGCAGAUAUCAGGAGGAACACCAGCGGCGAAGGCGACGCUCUGGGCCGGUACUGACACUGAGGAGCGAAAGCGUGGGUAGCAAACAGG
rnacentral:rRNA from 1 species